rnacentral:rRNA from 1 species
ACUGCUCAGUAACACGUGGACAACCUAACCUACAGAAGGGGAUAACCCCGGGAAACUGGGGAUAAUACCCUAUAGACUAUGGAUGCUGGAAUGCUCUGUAGCCGAAAGGUCCGCCGCUGUAGGAUGGGUCUGCGGCCGAUUAGGUUGUUGUUGGGGUAACGGCCCAACAAGCCUGUAAUCGGUACGGGUUGUGGGAGCAAGAGCCCGGAGAUGGAUUCUGAGACACGAAUCCAGGCCCUACGGGGCGCAGCAGGCGCGAAAACUUUACAAUGCGGGAAACCGUGAUAAGGGAACUCUGAGUGCCCGUAAAAUCGGGCUGUCCAUCAGUUUAAAUAACUGGUGAAGAAAGGGCCGGGCAAGACCGGUGCCAGCCGCCGCGGUAAUACCGGCGGCUCGAGUGGUGGCCACUAUUACUGGGCUUAAAGCGUUCGUAGCUGGUUUGUUAAGUCUCUGGGGAAAUCUUCCGGCUUAACCGGAAGGCGUCUCAGGGAUACUGGCAGACUAGGGACCGGAAGAGGUGAGAGGUACUCCAGGGGUAGGAGUGAAAUCCUGUAAUCCUUGGGGGACCACCUGUGGCGAAGGCGUCUCACCAGAACGGCUCCGACAGUGAGGGACGAAAGCUGGGGGAGCAAACCGGAUUAGAUACCCGGGUAGUCCCAGCCGUAAACGAUGUGCAUUAGGUGUAUCGGUGACCACGAGUCACCGAGGUGCCGAAGAGAAAUCGUGAAAUGCACCGCCUGGGAAGUACGGUCGCAAGGCUGAAACUUAAAGGAAUUGGCGGGGGAGCAC